AAUUUUUUUUUUUUGGUUAUUCAAAUACAAACAUAUAUAAGAGCCACGUGAUGCGAUCUUGUAAUAGAUCAAACCAUGAUGCGGACCGUACUAUAGCCUUAAAGCUUCUGUGGAUUAACUUUGGUUCCUGAUGGCUCUAUUUUUCUUUUCGUUUUUUAGAAAAUAAAUUUGAUUAUUUUGAAUUUUUUGUCAUAUUUGAGGGAGAGAGGGAAUGAGUAGUCUUGAGCUAUUGGAAUAAGGAUGAAGUGGAAAGGGAUAAGGUUAUGAGAAGUUAUUGGAGUGGGAGGUGUUGUAAGAUAUAGUAAUAUUUAUUUUUCCAACUAAAUUGGAAGAAUAAAUAAAAUUAAUGUCUUACCAAUACCUCCCAUUCCUGUGGCUUCCUGUUACUUAUUCCUUUCCUGAUUUAUCAUCCGUUUGCAGAAAUUCACCAGAUUAUCUCUUCUGCUGGUUAUAAUUGCUCAUUCAAUUAUAUAUAGAGCGUGUACACGGAUACUGUGGGAGAAAGGUAAUAGAAUAUAUUUCCCUGUCAAGGUAAGAUCUUUUAAAAACCUGCUAAUGAGUUAGUUGAUGUAAAAUUUUUGUUGAACCCUGUUUCAUUGCCUGUAAUUCAAAUUUUAGGUAAAUUAUGUUCGAAUGGAGAAAACUGUGCGCAUAGGGAUUUAGAGCCUGUUUGGAUCGACUUAUUUCAGGUGUUUAAGCCACAAUAAUAAAAACAAGUCAAAAGCCAUAAAAAAAGGCUCGCACAAGAAGCAAUAUGUCAUAAUCCUAUUUGUGUGUACACUUUUCCUUGUAUGUCCAAAUAAGAAUAAGAAAUAUAACAGACAUCUUUUCAUGUUGUGAUUUUUGUUUUUAGUCACAUUACAAACACUGAUUAUAUUUACAUUCAACUUCCAAGAUAAAAGAAAGAAGACUAAUAAGUAGCAAACAAACAAACAUACUUUUCAGAUUCUAUUGUCCAGGCAUGCCUAUAGGGAAGAAGCUGUUAUAAAAAAGAGCACACCACUUAUACUCUACUUUGCUUAAGCUCUGCAAUUCUUUCAACUCUUUUGUAUCAGUUUCAUAGCAAUAGAGAUCACCUUUUAAGGAUCUAAUCAAGAUAUCUCCAGUACUCUCACUAUUUCUUGGUAAAUAACCAAUAAUAGUGAAGUUAUAAGCACUCUCAUGAACAUCAAUACUAUACUCUAAACACCAUGCUCCACUUUCAUUGUCCUUCAACAUCCAAAUAUUUAACAUGUGACAAUCUAUUUCAUUCUGAACUAAACAUAGAUGUCCAUUUAUUUCAGCCAAAUGUGAAAACCUAAAGUUAUAGCCAUAUGGACAACAAAUGGUCUUUGUUUCCUCAUUUGCCAAGUUAAUUUCAAGAAUUCUCACGUGAUCACUGCUAAAGGUAUUAUCUUUUGCAAAGGCUAGCCAAUAAAUGAACCCAUUGAUGUGGAUAGGUUGACGACAUGUUCCAGAAUAUUGUGUGCAACUCAACUUCAAGUCUCUCCAUGGCCCUAUUACACUUGAUUCUUCCUCUAGCUUAAGGGUUAGGAUAUUGAAAUACAAAAUCUUUUCAAAACCAGCAUAGAAUUCCCAGUCAUCAGGAUCUUCCACCAUCCUCUCAUAUGAUACCACAAUUUUGUACUCAUUUGUUGAAGAGACAUAGCCUAAACAAGCUCGACCAGCAAAAUGUGAAAGAAUGGGCAAAGCUAGUGUCUUUUUGGUAAUGGGAUUGCAAAUCCAAAUUUUUCCCACAUAGCCAGUUCGGUAAAAACUUAACAAGUCUAGCCCAGAACUGCACACAUUAUAGCCUGGUUCAAUUUCAGCUAUACUUCCAUGUUCAUGAACCAGCUCAUAAUUAGAGGAGUUUAUUGAAGAAAGAUGAAGGAGUUGGGACCUGAACAAAGUAUCACUUCUUGAAGAGCUGAUAAGAGAUAGAGUAGGCCUUUUCUUCGAUUGAUCGCGAUGUUGCAUCUUGAAAUGGAUACCGGAAAUUGUAUGAAGCCAUUCUUUUGAGAGACAUUUAAGCUGACAAAGUUGUUUGACACCCAGUCUUGAAAAUAUAUCGGUCAAGAGAUCUUGUGAAAGAUGAUCAGCCAUGCCUUCGUUCACUUGGUGCGGAAUUUUAAGAUUAAACCAGCAAUUGGAAAUUUAGAACGAUGAUUGUGUACCUCUUAAUAACAAUGGAAUUGUAUAAUUUUGUAGAGUGAUCACCGCCAAUUAAAAAUUGCCCCAAUCAAAGUUCUAUUCAUUAGGAAAUAAA